CCGUCAGGAUGAACGCUGGCGGCGUGCUUAACACAUGCAAGUCGAACGAUGAAGCCCAGCUUGCUGGGUGGAUUAGUGGCGAACGGGUGAGUAACACGUGAGUAACCUGCCCUUAACUCUGGGAUAAGCCUGGGAAACUAGGUCUAAUACCGGAUAGGAGCGCCUACCGCAUGGUGGGUGUUGGAAAGAUUUAUCGGUUUUGGAUGGACUCGCGGCCUAUCAGCUUGUUGGUGAGGUAAUGGCUCACCAAGGCGACGACGGGUAGCCGGCCUGAGAGGGUGACCGGCCACACUGGGACUGAGACACGGCCCAGACUCCUACGGGAGGCAGCAGUGGGGAAUAUUGCACAAUGGGCGAAAGCCUGAUGCAGCGACGCCGCGUGAGGGAUGACGGCCUUCGGGUUGUAAACCUCUUUCAGUAGGGAAGAAGCGAAAGUGACGGUACCUGCAGAAGAAGCACCGGCUAACUACGUGCCAGCAGCCGCGGUAAUACGUAGGGUGCGAGCGUUAUCCGGAAUUAUUGGGCGUAAAGAGCUCGUAGGCGGUUUGUCGCGUCUGUCGUGAAAGUCCGGGGCUUAACCCCGGAUCUGCGGUGGGUACGGGCAGACUAGAGUGCAGUAGGGGAGACUGGAAUUCCUGGUGUAGCGGUGGAAUGCGCAGAUAUCAGGAGGAACACCGAUGGCGAAGGCAGGUCUCUGGGCUGUAACUGACGCUGAGGAGCGAAAGCAUGGGGAGCGAACAGGAUUAGAUACCCUGGUAGUCCAUGCCGUAAACGUUGGGCACUAGGUGUGGGGACCAUUCCACGGUUUCCGCGCCGCAGCUAACGCAUUAAGUGCCCCGCCUGGGGAGUACGGCCGCAAGGCUAAAACUCAAAGGAAUUGACGGGGGCCCGCACAAGCGGCGGAGCAUGCGGAUUAAUUCGAUGCAACGCGAAGAACCUUACCAAGGCUUGACAUGUUCUCGAUCGCCGUAGAGAUACGGUUUCCCCUUUGGGGCGGGUUCACAGGUGGUGCAUGGUUGUCGUCAGCUCGUGUCGUGAGAUGUUGGGUUAAGUCCCGCAACGAGCGCAACCCUCGUUCCAUGUUGCCAGCACGUAAUGGUGGGGACUCAUGGGAGACUGCCGGGGUCAACUCGGAGGAAGGUGAGGACGACGUCAAAUCAUCAUGCCCCUUAUGUCUUGGGCUUCACGCAUGCUACAAUGGCCGGUACAAUGGGUUGCGAUACUGUGAGGUGGAGCUAAUCCCAAAAAGCCGGUCUCAGUUCGGAUUGGGGUCUGCAACUCGACCCCAUGAAGUCGGAGUCGCUAGUAAUCGCAGAUCAGCAACGCUGCGGUGAAUACGUUCCCGGGCCUUGUACACACCCCCCGUCUUUCACGAAAGUUGGUAACACCCGAAGCCGGUGGCCUAACCCUUGUGGGGGAGCCGUCGA
rnacentral:rRNA from 1 species